ensembl:lncRNA
AUGGAAUCAGGGACACCAAAAACCCCAAAAACACCCCAAAAAUGGCAUCAGGGACCCCAAAAAUGGCAUCAGGGACCCCGAAAACCAAAAAAACACCCCAAAAAUGGCAUCAGGGACCCCGAAAACCACAAAAAACACCCCAAAAAUCGCAUCAGGGACCCCCAAAAUGGCAUCAGGGACCCCGAAAAUGGAAUCAGGGACCCCAAAAACCCCAAAAAACACCCCAAAAAUGGCAUCAGGGACCCCAAAAAUGGCAUCAGGGAACCCGAAAACCCCAAAAACACCCCAAAAGUGGCAUCAGGGACCCCGAAAAUGGCAUCAGGGACCCCAAAAACACCCAAAAAAUGGCAUCAGGGACCCCGAAAAUGCCAAAAAACACCCCAAAAAUGGCAUCAGGGACCCCGAAACCCCCAAAAAUCGCAUCGGGACCCUAAAAUGCCAAAAAACCCCAAAAAAUCGCAUCAGGGACCCCAAAAAUGGCAUCAGGGACCCCAAAAAUCACAUCAGGGACCCCAAAAAUCACAUCAGGGAACCCAAAAACCCCAAAAAACACCCCAAAAAUCGCAUCAGGGACCCCAAAAAUCGCAUCAGGGACCCCAAAAAUCGCAUCAGGGACCCCGAAAACCCCAAAAAACACCCCAAAAAUGGCAUCAGGGACCCCAAAAACCCCAAAAAAUCACAUCAGGGACCCCAAAAACCCCCAAAAAACCCCCAAAAAUCGCAUCAGGGACCCCAAAAACCCCAAAAAUCACCCCAAAAAUGGCAUCAGGGAACCCCAAAAAUGGCAUCAGGGACCCCAAAAAUGGCAUCAGGGACCCCGAAAAUGCCAAAAAACACCCCAAAAAUGGCAUCAGGGACCCCAAAAAUGGCAUCAGGGACCCCAAAACCCCAAAAAAAAUCACAUCAGGGACCCCAAAAACCCCAAAAAACACCCCAAAAAUCAGAUCAGGGACCCCAAAAUGCCAAAAAACACCCCAAAAAUCAGAUCAGGGACCCCAAAAAUGGCAUCAGGGACCCCAAAAAUCACAUCAGGGACCCAAAAAACCUCAAAAAACACAUCAGGGACCCCGAAAAACACCCAAAAAUGGCAUCAGGGACCCCAAAAACAAAAAAAACUCCCAAAAAUGGCAUCAGGGACCCCAAAAACACCCCAAAAAUGGCAUCAGGGACCCCGAAAAUGGCAUCAGGGACCCCAAAAACAUCAAAAACACCCCAAAAAUCACAUCACGGACCCUGAAAACCCCAAAAAACACCCUAAAAACCAAAAAAACACCCCAAAAAUGGCAUCAGGGACCCCGAAAAUGGCAUCAGGGACCCAAAAAACAUCAAAAACACCCCAAAAAUCGCAUCAGGGACCCCAAAAACUCCAAAAAUCGCAUCAGGAACCCCAAAAACCCCAAAAAACACCCCAAAAAUCGCAUCAGGGACCCCAAAACCCCUAAAAAUCGCAUCAGGGACCCCAAAAAUCACAUCAGGGACCCCGAAAACCCCAAAAAACACCCCAAAAAUGGCAUCAGGGACCCCAAAAACCCCAAAAAAUCACAUCAGGGACCCCAAAAACCCCCAAAAAACCCCCAAAAAUCGCAUCAGGGACCCCAAAAACCCCAAAAAUCACCCCAAAAAUGGCAUCAGGGAACCCCAAAAAUGGCAUCAGGGACCCCAAAAAUGGCAUCAGGGACCCCGAAAAUGCCAAAAAACACCCCAAAAAUGGCAUCAGGGACCCCAAAAAUGGCAUCAGGGACCCCAAAACCCCAAAAAAAAUCACAUCAGGGACCCCAAAAACCCCAAAAAACACCCCAAAAAUCAGAUCAGGGACCCCAAAAUGCCAAAAAACACCCCAAAAAUCAGAUCAGGGACCCCAAA